ensembl:lncRNA
CAGUUUUAUCCAGACGGCACUGCUUUGGAUCUCCUGAGCCCCGGUAGACAGACUCCAAGGCUCGUGACACACCCUGUCCUUGGAAAUCUUGUAGGAGGUGUAUGUGAGGUGUGUGUGUGCUCAGCAGAGGAAGCCUAUACUUUGUAUGAAACAUGCAGGGAGACACUGAGGGCCAGCGCAGCCUCCAUCUCCAGCAGAUGUAGUUUCCUGUUCUCGGUGGCUGUUGAGUGGAAACUUCAUCCGGAGCAGGCGGUGUCGGAGAUCUGCCGCAGCAGACUGCAGCUGUUCAGCUUGGCAGGAGGAGCCAGCAGGGCUGACCUCAGAGGGUCGGUUAGAUGCCCCUAUGCAGCAAAAUAUCUAUUACAUGGAACUGAAAAUGAUAUCCUAAUGUUCAAACACUACUCAGUCACAUUACUUAAAGGAGGCGUAUUAUGCUUUUUUUGUUCUCUUACCUUUUCCCUGUGCAUGUAAAAGAUCUUGAAAGCUGAAACGCCCUCGCCAACAGAAGCUCGUCUCUCCCACAGAAAAUACCGCUCCUGAAACGCCUCGUCAGCAGUCUAACCUUCAAUUCCAUGACUUUGUGACAUCAUGCUAUGUCCCAAUGUCACACAUUUGCAUAAUUUAUGCCUAGGGGCUAGUUUGGCAUGUAGGAAUUGAUUUCGCACAGCUGCUCUGUUGUUGUAAGCAGCGCUGACUCAGGUGUGUGUGAGCUGACCAAUCAGAGGAGACUGGGUAUUCGGGGGGGGGGGGGGGGGGGGGUGCUUAAAGAGACAGGAGCUAAAACAGAGCAUUUUUAGAGGGGGAUUACUGGACAGUAUGAAAAAACAGAUGCUUGCAAACCUAUUCUAGUAGUAAUCCCGAAAUAGAAUUAUAAACCUGAAAAUUAGCAUAAUAUGUCUUCUCCCUUUAAUAUUGGGAUCUGUACCCUUGUCAUCUAUUUAGCUCUCACCAAUCAUUAAGGAUGUGUGAAAAGAGUAUCUCAGUCUUCCUAACUCUAAAAAUCAAAUCAAUGUAUUAAUAAAAUUAACAUCUGAAGACUGGAUAGAUUAAUAUAGUUAAUUACGAAUUUAUCAAUGACUCACUGAGGCUGACACCAUCAACAUGCUCUGCAGUCAUUUUUAAGGUGAUAAGCAGUUGAACUGUUCCUGGAGAAUCAAAGAGCUUUUGGCUGGUCAAAAUGUCCUCUGUGAAAAAAUUGAAUAUUUGACGAGUCCAGUCAAGAAUGAAGACGCCAUUUAUCAUUCCGACAAAACGAAGUUAUGCUCGAGAGCUUCUGACAUGGAAGGACUUUAUUUCAGUGCAGUUUUAUAUGCACUUGGUGCGUGUGCCUAGAUGUGGAACAGCUUCAGAACACACCUCAGAAAACAGAAAAAUAAGUAUCGAUGUUUUGGAAAAACAUUUUGCUGACUGCGCGUGAAGUCCAGUUGGCAGUGGCACUUUUGAAGUUGCAGUUCGAUUAUUGCAACAGUAAAGUAUGUUGAUUUCUCGAGCAGUACCGGCAAAUACAUACAGUAUCUGCUAUUUGGAUGAGGUUUCAACCCUCAGUCCUUCUUCUAGAUCAACAUCCAGAUAAAUGCAUAUGAAGCCAGAGUGUGCAAGACUGCUUUUCUUUUCUAAAGUCAACUUCCAGCAAUCAGCACCUCACUACAAUUAUGUGCAUUACUUUUCCAUUAAAUACUCUGCAGAGUUAACCCACUGGCGAAGGUUCUGGACCAAACCCAGCGUGAAGCCACAACAAACAAUUCACUCCUCCAUUGUCUCCUAACUGAUGCUUUAACAGGAAAUAGCAAGACAGCACUCAUCUACUGCGUUCACCCUCAAGGUAAAUGCUCCUCUGAGUCUGCUGACAUCAGUUUAACCAGAAUCCUUUCAGCUUAUCA